rnacentral:rRNA from 1 species
UGCAGUCGAACGGAGCAAUGCGAUUACAUCAAGAUUGCUCAGUGGCGGACGGGUGCGUAACACGUGAGCAACCUGCCCGGAAGAGGGGGAUAGCCCAGGGAAACUUGGAUUGAUACCCCGUGUGAUUAGAGAAGGCAUCUUCUCAAAAUUAAAGGCGCUGAAAGGUGCCGCUUCCGGAUGGGCUCGCGGCCUAUCAGCUAGUUGGCGGGGUAACGGCCCACCAAGGCAACGACGGGUAGCUGGUCUGAGAGGACGACCAGCCACACUGGAACUGAGACACGGUCCAGACACCUACGGGUGGCAGCAGUCGAGAAUAAUUCACAAUGGGGGAAACCCUGAUGGUGUGACGCCGCGUGGAGGAUGAAGGUCUUCGGAUUGUAAACUCCUGUCAAGUGAGAGUAAAACCGGGUAGUAACUAUAUCCCGGCUUGAGAGUAUCACUAGAGGAAGAGACGGCUAACUCUGUGCCAGCAGCCGCGGUAAUACAGAGGUCUCAAGCGUUGUUCGGAAUCACUGGGCGUAAAGGGUGCGUAGGCUGCACGGUAAGUCAGAUGUGAAAUCCCAGAGCUCAACUUUGGAAUUGCAUCCGAUACUGCCGUGCUUGAGGACUGGAGAGGAGUCUGGAAUUCAUGGUGGAGCAGUGAAAUGCGUAGAUAUCAUGAGGAACGCUAGUGGCGUAGGCGAGACUCUGGACAGUUUCUGACGCUGAGGCACGAAGGCCAGGGGAGCAAACGGGAUUAGAUACCCCGGUAGUCCUGGCAGUAAACGGUGCACGUUUGGUGUGGGAGGAAUCGACCCCUUCCGUGCCGGAGCUAACGCGUUAAACGUGCCGCCUGGGAAGUACGGUCGCAAGAUUAAAACUCAAAGAAAUUGACGGGGACCCGCACAAGCGGUGGAGUAUGUGGCUUAAUUCGAUGCAACGCG